AACGAACGCUGGCGGCAUGCCUAACACAUGCAAGUCGAACGAAGGCUUCGGCCUUAGUGGCGCACGGGUGCGUAACGCGUGGGAAUCUGCCCUUUGGUUCGGAAUAACAGCUGGAAACGGCUGCUAAUACCGGAUGAUGAUGAAAGUCCAAAGAUUUAUCGCCAGAGGAUGAGCCCGCGUUGGAUUAGGUAGUUGGUGGGGUAAAGGCCUACCAAGCCGACGAUCCAUAGCUGGUCUGAGAGGAUGAUCAGCCACACUGGGACUGAGACACGGCCCAGACUCCUACGGGAGGCAGCAGUGGGGAAUAUUGGACAAUGGGCGCAAGCCUGAUCCAGCAAUGCCGCGUGAGUGAUGAAGGCCCUAGGGUUGUAAAGCUCUUUUACCCGGGAAGAUAAUGACUGUACCGGGAGAAUAAGCCCCGGCUAACUCCGUG
rnacentral:rRNA from 1 species